CCUACGUGAGGCAGCAGUGAGGAAUAUUGGUCAAUGUGCGCUAGCCUGAACCAGCCAAGUAGCGUGAAGGAUGACUGCCCUAUGGGUUGUAAACUUCUUUUAUAUGGGAAUAAAGUGCAGUAUGUAUACUGCUUUGCAUGUACCUUAUGAAUAAGUAUCGGCUAACUCCUUGCCAGCAGCCGCGUUACUACGGAGGAUCCGAGCGUUAUCCGUAUUUAUUUGGUUUAAAGGGAGCGUAGGCGGGUUGUUAAGUCAUUUGUGAAAGUUUGCGGCUCAAACGUAAACUUUCAGUUGAUACUGUGAUUCUUGAGUACAUGAGAGGUAGGCGGAAUUCGUGGUGUAGCGGUGAAAUGCUUAGAUAGCACGAAGAACUUCGAUUGCGAAGGCAGCCUGCUGGACUGUAACUGACGCUGAUGCUCGAAAGUGUGGGUAUCAAACAGGAUUAGAUACCCCAGUAGUC
rnacentral:rRNA from 1 species